AAGAUUUGAAGUUGACAAGGCUACUGAGAAAAUUCUUAUUGCAUGGUGAGGAACAUCAAAGUCCAGAGUCAUCAUGAAUGAUUUCUUAAGUACUUCUUCCUUAACAUCUCUGUCUGCAAGGAAGAAAAAAAAUCGUUUAAUAUAAUGUUUCAUUAUCGAAAUCUUCAAAAAUUUCUGUAACCUUUAAAAUCACGGGUACUGCGGCAAGUUGUUUUAAA